UGGGGAAUUUUGCACAAUGGGGGAAACCCUGAUGCAGCGACGCCGCGUGAUUUAGAAGGCCUUCGGGUGGUAAAAAUCUUUUCUAUGGGAAGAAAAUGACAGUACCAUAGGAAUAAGGACCGGCUAAUUACGUGCCAGCAGCCGCGGUAAUACGUAAGGUCCGAGCGUUGUCCGGAAUCAUUGGGCGUAAAGGGUACGUAGGCGGGUAAGCAAGUUAGAAGUGAAAUCCUAUAGCUCAACUAUAGUAAGCUUUUAAAACUGCUCAUCUUGAGGUAUGGAAGGGAAAGUGGAAUUCCUAGUGUAGCGGUGAAAUGCGCAGAUAUUAGGAGGAAUACCGGUGGCGAAGGCGACUUUCUGGCCAUAACCUGACGCUGAGGUACGAAAGCGUGGGUAGCAAACAGG
rnacentral:rRNA from 1 species